CGGCAAGCGUCCAGCGUGCUGGGGUCUGCGGUGACCCUGUGCAUUCCUGCACCGCUUGCCACAGCAUCCUGAGACGGUUUGAGGCCUUGCCCUGCUCCAUCCAGAGCGAGGUUAUAGAAAUUUCAGACAGGC
rnacentral:snoRNA from 12 species